rnacentral:tRNA from 1 species
GGUUCUAUGGUGUAAUGGUUAGCUCUUCAGACUCUGACUCUGACAAUCUGAGUUCAAAUCUCAGUAGGACCU